AGGAUAGCGGUUCUCAAGAAAGAAUUUAUCCAMCUAAAGUUACAAAAAUUAACAUAAAUGUCCUUCCCACUUUAGAGCAAUUCAAAUGAGGUACAGCCCAUUUGAUACAGGAUCCAACCUUCACUAACGGGUAAUAUAUGACUUACACCUACAAGUAGGCCUAAGAGCAGCCACCUUUUAAAAAGCGUCAAACCUUAGCUGUGUUUACACCAAUUCAUUGCCCCCCAUCAACCCCUUUCACCAUAUUGAGAAAUUCCAUAAUGUUAUGGAACCUUUUAUGUUAAAACUAGUAACAAGAGAAAGCCCCCUCUCUAUAAUGCAAACUCAAGCCAGCAAGAACCCAUCACUGGCAACUAACAAACAAGUAAAGUAGUAACUUUCUCCAGAAAACUCUACUUCUCCUAACUGUUAACCUUACACAAGAGCAUUUCAAGAAAGAUUUUAAGAAAAAGAAGGAACUCGGCAAACACAAAUCCCGCCUGUUUACCAAAAACAUCGCCUCUUGUCCACUCAUAAGAGGUCCAGCCUGCCCAGUGACUCUUGUUCAACGGCCGCGGUAUCCUAACCGUGCAAAGGUAGCGUAAUCACUUGUCUUUUAAAUAAAGACUAGUAUGAAAGGCAUCACGAGGAUUAAACUGUCUCCUUUUUCUAAUCAGUGAACCUAAUCUCCCCGUGAAAAAGCGGGGAUUUUUAUAUAAGACGA
rnacentral:rRNA from 1 species